rnacentral:rRNA from 1 species
UACGUAGGGGGCUAGCGUUGUCCGGAUUUAUUGGGCGUAAAGCGCGUGUAGGCGGCUUUGCAAGUCGGGUGUGAAAGCCCUCAGCUCAACUGAGGAAGUGCGCCCGAAACUGCAGAGCUUGAGUGCCGGAGAGGGUGGCGGAAUUCCCCAAGUAGAGGUGAAAUUCGUAGAUAUCUGGAGGAACACCGGUGGCGAAGGCGGCAUCCUGGACCGGUAUUGACGCUGAGGCGCGAAAGCUAGGGGAGCAAACGGG